rnacentral:lncRNA from 1 species
UGCGGCGAACGUGACGUCACUUUAACUAACUAAACGGCUACCAUUAUGGUAUGGGGGCAAACAAAGCGCUUGAAAAUGGAGAAAUGUGUUUUUGAUUGUUCACUUAAUGUUAAUAGUCAUCCGAACUUGAUUUUUUAUAUUUUGUUUCCUGAUCCAAAGAGAAGAAAAUCGUGGCUUUAUGCUUUAUAUAUAACUGAUUCAUCUUGCUAAAACAAACUUACGUCGCAAAACAUGUCUAAGUAUGCUCAAAACAUUUUGUAUCUGAAUAUUAUGUACAAAAAAGUCAUUGCAAUAAAUCUCAAGUUAUUAAAGUCAGUUAACAAAUAAGUACUGACAAUUCAUUGACUGGAGUGGAAGAUGUUAGUGUCUUGAACCAACAUGAAACAACAAGUUAACUUAGCUGAGAAUGAUGGUAGUUUAAAAAUAAUGCAGCAUUGGCUAGGAUUGUUCCUAGGUCACAAAAACAAUCUUACAAAUAGAGUUUCUGCUGUUGUCACUGGUUUUAGAGAGUACCUUUGUGAAUGAAGAUAAAAAGUCAUUUAUGUUAUUUUUUAAAAGCCAAGACAUAAUAUUGUUAAUCCUCAUAC